rnacentral:rRNA from 1 species
CGGGGCUUAAAGUCUUGUAAUUGGAAUGAUGGGAAUUUAAACCUCUUCCAGAGUAUCAAUUGGAGGGCAAGUCUGGUGCCAGCAGCCGCGGUAAUUCCAGCUCCAAUAGCGUAUAUUAAAAUUGUUGCAGUUAAAAAGCUCGUAGUUGAAUUUCUGCUGCAUUGCUUGUGUCCCUCUGGGGUCUGUGCAUGUGGCUUUUUUCGGACGGAGUUUCUUUGUCUGAAUGUUUACUUUGAGAAAAUUAGAGUGCUCAAAGCAGGCUUUCGCCUUGAAUAGUUUAGCAUGGAAUAAUAAAGUAGGACUUUGGUUCUGUUUUGUUGGUUUUAGGUACCAAAGUAAUGGUUAAUAGGAACAGUUGGGGGCAUUCGUAUUUAACUGUCAGAGGUGAAAUUCUUAGAUUUGUUAAAGACGAACUACUGCGAAAGCAUUUGCCAAGGAUGUUUUCAUUAAUCAAGAAC